GCCCGGCUAGCUCAAUGGGUAAGUUCAUUAUCAUCAUUCUUCAAAAUUGAAAAAAAAGCUGAUUUCCCCUUAAAGUCAGAGCGUCGGACUUUUAAUCCGAAGGCUGUGGGUUCAAGUCCCACGUCGGGCG
rnacentral:tRNA from 1 species